rnacentral:rRNA from 1 species
UACGUAGGGGGCAAGCGUUGUCCGGAUUUAUUGGGCGUAAAGAGCGUGUAGGCGGCCUGACAGGUCUGCUGUGAAAACUCGAGGCUCAACCUCGAGACGCCGAUGGAAACCAUGUGGCUAGAGUCCGGAAGAGGCGAGUGGAAUUCCCGGUGUAGCGGUGAAAUGCGCAGAUAUCGGGAGGAACACCAAUGGCGAAGGCAGCUCGCUGGGACGGUACUGACGCUGAGACGCGAAAGCGUGGGGAGCAAACAGG